rnacentral:rRNA from 1 species
GGGGUGGCUCACAGCUAUAAUUUACCAGUUGAACUAAGUUAAACGGAUAACUGCGGUAAUUCUGGAGCUAAUACGUGCGUAAGCCCAUCUUCUUUGGAGAUGGGUGCAUUUAUUGGUGCAAAACAGGUCGUUGACUUUUUGCUUACUCUGAAUAAACCAGCGUAUCGCAUGAUCUUUGUAUCGGCGAAAUUUCUGUCAAGUAUCUGUCUUAUCAACUGUCGUUGGUGCUGUAUUGGAGUACCAUGGUAUUAACGAGUAACGGAGAAUCAGGGUUCGACUCCGGAGAGGGAGCCUUAGAAACGGCUACCAUGUCUAAGGAUAGCAGCAGGCGCGAAAAUUACCCAAUGUUAAAGCAACGAGGUAGCGACAAGAAAUAACAAGACCGUUCUCUUUGAGGUCGGUCAUUGGAAUGAGUUCAAUCCAGACACUUUAACGAGUAUCUACGAGAGGGCAAGUCUGGUGCCAGCAGCCGCGGUAAUUCCAGCUCUCGUAAGGUAUAGAAUUAUUGCUGUGGUUAAAAAGUUCGUAGUUGGAUUGUUAAUAGAACACGGGUCUAGACUUUAAUGUUUAGUACUUGUUGUUUCUAUAAAUUUGUACGUUUUAUAAACCGGCGAUUGGAUGCUUGCAUUCGUUGUUGUGUUUUGCGUACAGGAUUACUUUGAACGGCUCAAGUGCUUCAAGCACGUCUUAUGACUGAAUACCGGUGCAUGGAAUAAUGGAAAAAGGUUUCGGUUGGUUUUAAUCUGUUUUGCCGACUGAAACAAUGGUUAACAGGAACAGUCGGGGGCAUUCGUAUCGCUACGCGAGAGGUGAAAUUCGUGGACCGUAGCGGGACGCCCAAAAGCGAAGGCACUUGCCAAGAGUGUUUUCAUUAAUCAAGAACGAAAGUCAGAGGGUCGAGGGGAAUCCCCCCCCC